GUGUGGCUCAUGCCUGUAGUUCCAGCACUUUGGGAGGCCAAGGGAGGCGAAUCACUUGAGGUCAUGAGUUCAAGAACAGCCUGGCCAACAUGGUGAAACCCCGUCUCUACUAAAAAUACAGAAAAGUAGCCGGGUGUGGUGGCGCGUGCCUGUAAUCCCAGCUACUCGGGAGGCUGAGGCAGGAGAAUCGCUUGAACCCAGGAGGCAGAGGUUGCAGUAAGCCAAGAUCACACCACUGUACUCCAGUCUGGGCAACAGAGCGAGACUCCGUCUAAAAAAAAGAAAAAAACAUAUGCCAUAGCUCAGAUGUUUUACUAUCAAAUUAAUGCAUUUUAUACAAAUAUUCCAAGUCUGAAGGUUUUAGUUUUAUGUACCCUUGUUGGAUAGCAUGACGUAAAGUGGCUACUGAAAUUAAUAGGAAAUGUGAAUUUAAAAAUUCUUCCUGUAUUGGCCCAAACUCUAUAUACUAUCAAAUAGUAGGUACUUAAUACAUAUUUGCAGAAAUGCCUGCGUGGAUGACUAUCUAGCACAUUCAUUGGGUGCAGUAACCUCAGCGCCACGUCUUAGCAGGAGCCCCAGUAAGCUCUUUUUUUCUAUUUGCAUUGUAGCAUUGAUUGUUUAAUGUUGAUUUGAGUGGAACAUCCUCUCAAAAGUAAGGUAACCGAUUCCUUGCUGCAAUAAAAAACAUUUUCUUGGAGAUCUCCAUUUUCAAAUAUUUCUUUCUCACAUAUACAUACAUUCUGCCAACUGGAAAUGAGUCCCUUUAUUAAAAUGAUUGGGAGAUACAGUGAUAAAUGUUUGACAAAAAAAUUAGUAAAAUGGUUGGGAGGGUUAAGGGAAUUCAGCCAUCUACCCUAGAAUGAAUUACUUCAGUUAGAUAAUCACUACUUAUCUUUUUCCCUGUCUGAAGGAUCACACAGGGGAUGUGAGAGCUUUAGUUGUGGCCACAGAGUAAUAAGUUUGGAAUUUGGAACGUGCAUCUGGAGGGAAGAUGAGGGAACUGGCCAUUUAAGGGCAGUAAGAACCAGAAAAGGCAAAACAGUAAAGCUAUAUUUUGACUGACUUUGUAAGUUUUCCUAGGGCUUGGCUUGACAGGGAAACAGUGUGAUAAGUGAGAAGAGAUUUGUUCAGAAUUCAGCUUUGCCUUUUAUUUUUUGUAAAACAUAGGUUAGUUUACUUCACCUUCCUGAUCCUUGGUUACCUCAUUUAUGAAAUGGGUUUGGGAACAGUACCUAACUCAUAGAGUCAUUGCAAAAAUUAAAUAAUAGAAUUCAUAUAAUGUAUCUGGCAGUUUAGGUACUCAGUUUUUCAAAAAAUUGUUACCUUUUAUCUGUUUGGAAGGCCAAAAGCCAAUAGUCUUGAUUGCUAAAAUUCUGGCGAUAAGAUCUCUCUGCAGUGGUAAGUGUUCAGCAUGUACCUUAAUUUCUUACCACGGUUGUAGUUAUUGAUUGUAUGCCAAAAAUAUAUGUCCCUGUAGGGCACAGUAGGUGUCUAAAAAACUAUUUAUUGAAUGAAAACUUUGAAAUGACCAUAAUGGUCUGAGCAGCUCUGUUUUCAGACACUAGCAUAGGAAGUGAAGAGAGCUUUGUCAUUUUAUUUUUACCUCUUUCCACGCGUCAGCCUCAUCCUGGCUGGGUCAGGCCUAUUUUCCAAGUAAUUAAUGUUCACUUCUUGUUUGUAAAGCAGAGCAAUUCAGUAAGAUGAUGGGAGGAAAUAAUUUCAUUUCUGGGUACUAAUUCCAGUAGCAGCUGUUUUCUGCUAACUGAGAAAUAUGCCUGUGCUAACAACUUUACACUUCCAGCAAAAACACUGGAACCAUGGUGCACACUAAGCUGUCUAAAGACAAAUGUGCGGUGUUUAUUUUCUUUUAGGAAACACAGAAACAUUAAUUGGGAUUGACUCAUUCUGUUUCUGCAUGCAUUUCUACUUACUUAUUUGAUGAUUUUCCUAGCUAAACAGCCACUUUCUGUUAUGUCAGAGGGAUAUCUUCAUCACUUCUCUUCAUGAAAUGUACCCAGAGCUUCCCUGAUUGAAACAUUUUCAAAAAUCAAAAACUUGAAUAGGUUUGCCUUUUGUCUGAGGGUGUGUAGGAGAGGGGUGUGUAAAAUGAAGACAUCUGUGUAUAUUGUUAAUUGGGAAAAACAGUUUACAAAAUAGUAUAUACAAGUUGAACCAACAUAUGUC
rnacentral:lncRNA from 1 species